rnacentral:miRNA from 1 species
ACACAAAAUAUGUAUGUGUGUGUGUGUGUGUGUGUGUGUGUGUGUGUAUAUAUAUAUACACACACACACACACAUACACACACACACACACAUGUAUGUG